GGUGCCUUAGUGGUUAGAGCGUCCGCCUCAGAUGCGGGAGAUCGUGGGUUGUAUCCACGGUCGAGUCCUACCAAAGACU